CGAAAAAGGUCGAAGUGGCGGCAAAAGUGAAGAGACGGAGAACAGUAACCAGCACAACCUCACUGUUUUCAGAGAGCCCGUGGCACGAAAAGCAACUUUUGUAGUUCUCCCAAGGAUUACGUCUGAAGCAGACAGAUCUUAUUGAAGAUGGUGUUGCAGGCAGUAGCAGGACCUUAACCAAGAUGGCUUCAUCUCUGAGAAAAGCCUGCAAUCGUGCUGUGUGCAAACUUCGAGUUCAAGGUCAAAUGAAAGUUGGUGGCCAUCAUUGCUUUUUUAUGCUGGACGAAAGCAAGUUCUCACACAAAAGAAAGG